rnacentral:rRNA from 1 species
GACGAACGCUGGCGGCGUGCCUAAUACAUGCAAGUUGAGCGCUGAAGGUUGGUACUUGUACCAACUGGAUGAGCAGCGAACGGGUGAGUAACGCGUGGGGAAUCUGCCUUUGAGCGGGGGACAACAUUUGGAAACGAAUGCUAAUACCGCAUAAAAACUUUAAACACAAGUUUUAAGUUUGAAAGAUGCAAUUGCAUCACUCAAAGAUGAUCCCGCGUUGUAUUAGCUAGUUGGUGAGGUAAAGGCUCACCAAGGCGAUGAUACAUAGCCGACCUGAGAGGGUGAUCGGCCACAGUGGGACUGAGACACGGCCCAAACUCCUACGGGAGGCAGCAGUAGGGAAUCUUCGGCAAUGGACGAAAGGCUGACCGAGCAACGCCGCGUGAGUGAAGAAGGGUUUCGGAUCGUAAAACUCUGUUGGUAGAGAAGAACGUUGGUGAGAGUGGAAAGCUCAUCAAGUGACGGUAACUACCCAGAAAGGGACGGCUAACUACGUG